CUCUGUGACUCCUACGGGAGGCAGCAGUGGGGAAUAUUGCACAAUGGGCGCAAGCCUGAUGCAGCCAUGCCGCGUGUAUGAAGAAGGCCUUCGGGUUGUAAAGUACUUUCAGCAGUGAGGAAGGCGGAGUCGUUAAUAGCGGCCUCGUUUGACGUUAGCUGCAGAAGAAGCACCGGCUAACUCCGUGCCAGCAGCCGCGGUAAUACGGAGGGUGCGAGCGUUAAUCGGAAUUACUGGGCGUAAAGCGCAUGCAGGUGGUUUGUUAAGUCAGAUGUGAAAGCCCGGGGCUCAACCUCGGAAUUGCAUUUGAAACUGGCAGACUAGAGUACUGUAGAGGGGGUAGAAUUUCAGGUGUAGCGGUGAAAUGCGUAGAGAUCUGAAGGAAUACCGGUGGCGAAGGCGGCCCCCUGGACAAAGACUGACGCUCAGAUGCGAAAGCGUGGGGAGCAAACAGGAUUAGAUACCCUGGUAG
rnacentral:rRNA from 1 species